AAGGAAUAUUGCUCAAUGGGAGAAAUCCUGAAGCAGCAACGCCGCGUGGAGGAUGAAGGGUCUAUGACUUGUAAACUCCUGUAAAGAAGGAAAAAAUUCCCAUUUGAUGGGAGAUGAUGGUACUUCUGGAGUAAGCCCCGGCUAACUACGUGCCAGCAGCCGCGGUAAUACGUAGGGGGCAAGCGUUGUCCGGAUUUACUGGGUGUAAAGGGUGCUCAGGCGGAUUUGUAAGUCAGAGGUGAAAUCUUACAGCUUAACUGUGAAACUGCCUUUGAUACUGCAAGCCUAGAGUAUGGAAGAGAGUGAUGGAGUAUCUGGUGUAGCAGUGAGAUGCGUAGAUAUCAGAUAGAACACCAAUGGCGAAGGCAGUCACUUGGUCCAUUACUGACGCUAAAGCACGAAAGCGUGGGUAGCAAACA
rnacentral:rRNA from 1 species